rnacentral:rRNA from 1 species
AACGCUAGCUACAGGCUUAACACAUGCAAGUCGAGGGGCAUCAGGAAGAAAGCUUGCUUUCUUUGCUGGCGACCGGCGCACGGGUGAGUAACACGUAUCCAACCUGCCCUUUACUCGGGGAUAGCCUUUCGAAAGAAAGAUUAAUACCCGAUAGCAUAAUGAUUCCGCAUGGUUUCAUUAUUAAAGGAUUCCGGUAAAGGAUGGGGAUGCGUUCCAUUAGGUUGUUGGUGAGGUAACGGCCCACCAAGCCUUCGAUGGAUAGGGGUUCUGAGAGGAAGGUCCCCCACAUUGGAACUGAGACACGGUCCAAACUCCUACGGGAGGCAGCAGUGAGGAAUAUUGGUCAAUGGGCGCUAGCCUGAACCAGCCAAGUAGCGUGAAGGAUGAAGGCUCUAUGGGUCGUAAACUUCUUUUAUAUAAGAAUAAAGUGCAGUAUGUAUACUGUUUUGUAUGUAUUAUAUGAAUAAGGAUCGGCUAACUCCGUGCCAGCAGCCGCGGUAAUACGGAGGAUCCGAGCGUUAUCCGGAUUUAUUGGGUUUAAAGGGAGCGUAGGUGGACUGGUAAGUCAGUUGUGAAAGUUUGCGGCUCAACCGUAAAAUUGCAGUUGAUACUGUCAGUCUUGAGUACAGUAGAGGUGGGCGGAAUUCGUGGUGUAGCGGUGAAAUGCUUAGAUAUCACGAAGAACUCCGAUUGCGAAGGCAGCUCACUGGACUGCAACUGACACUGAUGCUCGAAAGUGUGGGUAUCAAACAGGAUUAGAUACCCUGGUAGUCCACACAGUAAACGAUGAAUACUCGCUGUUUGCGAUAUACAGUAAGCGGCCAAGCGAAAGCAUUAAGUAUUCCACCUGGGGAGUACGCCGGCAACGGUGAAACUCAAAGGAAUUGACGGGGGCCCGCACAAGCGGAGGAACAUGUGGUUUAAUUCGAUGAUACGCGAGGAACCUUACCCGGGCUUAAAUUGCAGUGGAAUGAUGUGGAAACAUGUCAGUGAGCAAUCACCGCUGUGAAGGUGCUGCAUGGUUGUCGUCAGCUCGUGCCGUGAGGUGUCGGCUUAAGUGCCAUAACGAGCGCAACCCUUAUCUUUAGUUACUAACAGGUUAUGCUGAGGACUCUGGAGAGACUGCCGUCGUAAGAUGUGAGGAAGGUGGGGAUGACGUCAAAUCAGCACGGCCCUUACGUCCGGGGCUACACACGUGUUACAAUGGGGGGUACAGAAGGCAGCUAGCGGGUGACCGUAUGCUAAUCCCAAAAGCCUCUCUCAGUUCGGAUCGAAGUCUGCAACCCGACUUCGUGAAGCUGGAUUCGCUAGUAAUCGCGCAUCAGCCACGGCGCGGUGAAUACGUUCCCGGGCCUUGUACACACCGCCCGUCAAGCCAUGGGAGCCGGGGGUACCUGAAGUACGUAACCGCAAGGAUCGUCCUAGGGUAAAACUGGUGA